CCUCAGUGUGGGUGUUGCUAGGAGGAAGAAGCGGCCUGUGUUUCAAAGCCUCCGAGGAAGGAGUUUCCACCACACUCCGGGGCAGAGAAUUGAACAGCUCUCACAGCCAUAGAAUCAGAGACCUCACGAGCCAUCCAGUCCAAACCCAUUCUUCCAAGAAGCAGGAGAAUCACAUUCAAAGCAACCCCGACAGAUGGCCAUCCAGCCUCUGCUUAAAAGCCUCCAUCACACUCCGAGGCAUUUACAUAGCCGUGUUUUCCUCCACUUUGCCAACAACUCUAUGAAGUAGAUGAGAUGGAAUGUGACUCAUCCAAGAUUAUCAUUGUAUUGUGGUGGACAAGUGAUGAAGUCUCAAACUGCUGAAAUGGAGCGUAUAUUCAGAUUUGACAGCGUCAGACUUGAGCUUGCAUUUAAUGGAAAGCAAUCAUUUAGGAUGGGUGAAACGAACCUGCCCUUCCAGAUCAGAGAAUCAAAACUAUCAGCAGGGAGGAUGGACACCAACAAAGGGCUCCCUCUGCGAGGAGCACAAGAAUGCCUACUCAUUGCACUUGCAAACUCCUUGUGAGGUAGGUGAACACUUUCCCCAUGUUGUACAGAUAGAAGUGAAACAGAAAAGGCUCUGUGGUUUUGGCAAAGGCUCCCGCACCAUUCCAGCCAAAACAGAAGCUAAUUUUCCUGCAGGCACAAACCUUUUCCCUUCAGGAAAAGUUGCUUCUCCCAAACACUCUUUGUGGCUGAAUUACUUGAUAUCAAUUAACGCUGCCUUCAUUAAAAGCACCUUCUCAUA